rnacentral:rRNA from 1 species
UACAGAGGUCUCAAGCGUUGUUCGGAUUCAUUGGGCGUAAAGGGUGCGUAGGCGGCGCGGUAAGUCGGGUGUGAAAUCUCGGAGCUUAACUCCGAAACUGCAUUCGAUACUGCCGUGCUUGAGGACUGGAGAGGAGACUGGAAUUUACGGUGUAGCGGUGAAAUGCGUAGAUAUCGUAAGGAAGACCAGUGGCGAAGGCGGGGCUCUGGACAGGUCCUGGAGCUGAGGCACGAAGGGCAGGGGAGCAAACGGG